rnacentral:rRNA from 1 species
CUUCUUGAUCUGAAAUCAGGCGG